rnacentral:rRNA from 1 species
UACGUAGGGGGCAAGCGUUGUCCGGAAUCAUUGGGCGUAAAGCGCGUGUAGGCGGCUCGGUAAGUCCGCUCUGAAAGUCCGGGGCUCAACCCCGGGAGGCGGGUGGAUACUGUCGAGCUAGAGUCCGGAAGAGGCGAGUGGAAUUCCUGGUGUAGCGGUGAAAUGCGCAGAUAUCAGGAGGAACACCGGUGGCGAAGGCGGGUCUCUGGGCCGAUACUGACGCUGAGGAGCGAAAGCGUGGGGAGCGAACAGG